UAAAUCCUGAAAUGUUUGUUAAGGCUUUUAAUUCAACCUACAGUUUACUUUUGGGAAUCCGAGUCUACUAAAUGGCUGUCAAGCCUCCUUAUGAGUGGAAGGCAAAAGUUUGUAGCAGGGUACCCCCCUAUUUGAUAUAGGGCGUGAAUUAUAGUCUGACGGCAUGACGGGAUUUUU
rnacentral:other from 1 species